GACGAACGCUGGCGGCGUGCCUAAUACAUGCAAGUCGAGCGGACCGGAUUGGGGCUUGCCUUGAUUCGGUCAGCGGCGGACGGGUGAGUAACACGUGGGCAACCUGCCCGCAAGACCGGGAUAACUCCGGGAAACCGGAGCUAAUACCGGAUAACACCGAAGACCGCAUGGUCUUCGGUUGAAAGGCGGCCUUUGGGCUGUCACUUGCGGAUGGGCCCGCGGCGCAUUAGCUAGUUGGUGAGGUAACGGCUCACCAAGGCGACGAUGCGUAGCCGGCCUGAGAGGGUGACCGGCCACACUGGGACUGAGACACGGCCCAGACUCCUACGGGAGGCAGCAGUAGGGAAUCUUCCGAAAUGGGCGAAAGCCUGACGGAGCGACGCCGCGUGAGCGAAGAAGGCCUUCGGGUCGUAAAGCUCUGUUGUGAGGGACGAAGGAGCGUCGUUCGAAGAGGGCGGCGCGGUGACGGUACCUCACGAGAAAGCCCCGGCUAACUACGUG
rnacentral:rRNA from 1 species